CCGCGUCACCCUGGAGUCCCAAAUUGGGUAAUUUUCACAGAAAUUAAAAAACGCAUCUAGAGGGGAAUUUGGGUCAUCUUCCCACCCCUAUAUAUAUUCCAUAAACACGGAAUUAAGACAUUAUUUCACCAAAACAUACUCUUUUUCAUCAAAAUCCUCUCAAGAAAACAUUAGGGUUUCUAUUGGUGAAUUCAAGUUCAAGCAAAUUUUACCAUCAGAUUCCAAGAAUCUCUCUGUCAAUCUUCACUAAAUCAAGAACUAAGGU
rnacentral:lncRNA from 1 species